GCUUCGAAACACUUCGACAGCGGUCAAGCAACCACCAAACAGUGCCCACACAAUCUAGUGUUUCAACAGCGGUCAAGCAACCACCAAACACACCAUCUAGUGACUGUCUCGACAGCGGUCGAGCAACCACCAAACAUAACACACCAUCUAGUGUUUCAACAGUGGUCGAGCAACCGCCAAACAGUACACACACAAUCAUGUGUUUCAACAGCGGUCGAGCAAUCACCAAACACUACCCACACAAUCUACGGCACAACAAUAACGAAGAGGGACCAAGCAACUGUGACUUCAACCUUGCAGGAACCGAGGUCGCAUACGCCGUGGCUCGUGCCGGAGCACGCCGGCUUGAAC
rnacentral:lncRNA from 1 species